GUGCCAGCCGCCGCGGUAAUACGUAGGGGGCAAGCGUUGUCCGGAUUUAUUGGGCGUAAAGAGCUCGUAGGCGGUUCCGUGAGUCGGCUGUGAAAUCUCCACGCUCAACGUGGAGGGGUCAGUCGAUACUGCGGUGACUCGAGUCCGGUAGGGGAGUGUGGAAUUCCCGGUGUAGCGGUGAAAUGCGCAGAGAUCGGGAGGAACACCCGUAGCGAAGGCGGCACUCUGGGCCGGUACUGACGCUGAGGAGCGAAAGCGUGGGGAGCAAACAGGAUUAGAAACCCUUGUAGUCC
rnacentral:rRNA from 1 species